UCUCUGUGAUGAUGAACAAUUGAUGACGAGUCCGAUCCAUUCAAAAUCCUGACGACAUAUCGAGGCAUUUGUCUGAGAGAA